UGGGGAAUUUUGGACAAUGGGGGAAACCCUGAUCCAGCCAUCCCGCGUGUGCGAUGAAGGCCUUCGGGUUGUAAAGCACUUUUGGCAGGAAAGAAACGUCAUGGGUUAAUACCCCGUGAAACUGACGGUACCUGCAGAAUAAGCACCGGCUAACUACGUGCCAGCAGCCGCGGUAAUACGGAGGGUGCAAGCGUUAAUCGGAAUUACUGGGCGUAAAGCGUGCGCAGGCGGUUCGGAAAGAAAGAUGUGAAAUCCCAGAGCUCAACUUAGGAACUGCAUUUUUAACUACCGGGCUAGAGUGUGUCAGAGGGAGGUGGAAUUCCGCGGGUAGCAGUGAAAUGCGUAGAUAUGCGGAGGAACACCGAUGGCGAAGGCAGCCUCCUGGGAUAACACUGACGCUCAUGCACGAAAGCGUGGGGAGCAAACAGG
rnacentral:rRNA from 1 species